rnacentral:misc_RNA from 1 species
GAUGAAGAACGCAGCGAAAUGCGAUACGUAGUGUGAAUUGCAGAAUUCAGUGAAUCGUCGAAUCUUUGAACGCACAUUGCACCUCUCGGUAUUCCGGGAGGUAUGCCUGUUCGAGCGUCAUUUGUACCCUCAAGCUCUGCUUGGUGUUGGGUGUUUGUUCCGCCUCUGUGUGUGAACUCGCCUCAAAACAAUUGGCAGCCGGCGUACUUGUUUCGGAGCGCAGCACAUUUUGCGAUCCAGAUCAACGUACAGCGGCAUCCAAGAAGCCUUAUUUAACGCUCUUGACCUCGGAUCAGGUAGGGAUACCCGCUGAACUUAAGCAUAUCAAUAAGCGGAGGA